rfam:Ictidomys tridecemlineatus contig111610, whole genome shotgun sequence.
GGGAUUGUGGCUCAGGGGUAGAGUGCUUGCCUAGCAUGCAUGAGGCCCUGGGUUAGAACCUCAGCACCA